AAUGAACGUUGGCGGCGUGGAUUAGGCAUGCAAGUCGCGCGACAAGGAACCUUCGGGUUCUGGAGGAGCGGCAAACGGGGUAGUAAGGCAUCGGAACGUACCCUCUUGUUGGGAAUAGCCGCGGGAAACUGCGAGUAAUGCCCAAUAAUCCCUACGGGGCAAAGGUCCGCCGCAGGAGGAGCGGCCGAUGUGAUACCAGCUAGUUGGUGAGGUAAUGGCUCACCAAGGCUUAGACGUCUAGGGGGUGUGAGAGCAUGGCCCCCACCACUGGGACUGAGAUACUGCCCAGACACCUACGGGUGGCCUGCAGUCGAG
rnacentral:rRNA from 1 species